AGAAUCAACGCUGGCGGCGUGCCUAACACAUGCAAGUCGAACGAGGAAGUGGAGCAAUCCAUGAGUAAAGUGGCGACCGGGUGAGUAACACGUGACUAACCUACCUUCGAGUGGGGGAUAACCUCGGGAAACCGAGGCUAAUACCGCAUAACAUCGCAAGAUCAAAGCAGCAAUGCGCUGGAAGAGGGGGUCGCGGCUGAUUAGCUAGUUGGCGGGGUAACGGCCCACCAAGGCGAAGAUCGGUA
rnacentral:rRNA from 1 species